GGAAAUGAAGAGUAUUAGGAUAAAGAAUGAUGUAGAUUAAUCCAGGAGAAGUCAAUUUCCCUGUUUCCUAGACUGGCUCAGUUUGACAUCAGUUCCAGUUGUCUCCAUUAUAUACAAGCACACUUAACAACAACAUGUUCUGUCACCAGGGGGAACAAAUUCCUGAUUCUUCCAAAUGAGUUCUAAGGAAGCAGGGGAUAAAGAAAGGAGGUAAAUGUUUGGAGUGGAUAAAUCUGUCUGCCCAGCAGAGAGUAUCCCAGGACUCCAAGUGCUACUUUUCACAGAAUUGUCUUGAGAAAUCCAUAUGAAAUGGAAUUGUCAUGGAAUAACCAGGGACUGUUCGCCUGAAGAAAGAGGCUUUCUAGAUUCUGCUUCCUCCAGUGCUGAGAUCCUGGUACAUGAAGUGUCUGGGACCAGGAUUCUGCUUCACUCCAUUACAUGGAGGUAAAAACUGAGGACCCAUUGCCUCAGCUCUCACUGCUGACUUGUGCAAAUUCACCCAGUAAGUCUGGAACUGAACUGAGCUGAGAACCCUGGUUUCCCAAGUGUGAUCCUGGUGCUUAAGAGCUGAUGAUGAAGGGGGAAGUCGCUUGCAAUUAGCCACACUUCCCUGGCUUACAAAAAUAGAGUUGCUAUUUCACACUGCUGGUAAUUGCUCUAUUUUCUGCCUACAAAACUUUUGCUUCUAUAUGGCUGACCUCAGCUGAAGAAAACCGCAUUGAAAGAAAGAACAGAUGCAAGUCUCUGCUUGAAGAUUAGUGUCAGAGGUGGUUUCUGGUGGAGGUUUAAUUCCACAGAGCUCAGAUUUCCAUUUACUAGUAUACUCAGGCUAAAAAGUGGGUUUCUUUUAUUAUUAAAGCAGUUUGGCUUUGUGGAAGGUUCAUGCGAAUGUUUUCACUUUGAGAGUAUCAGUGCCAGAGCCUGACUUCUGUAAUCCUGUGGCAUGCUCUUCUCUUUUACCAUUGCUCUUCUCCUUGAAUAUCAGCCUAACAGCCUCUAGACUUUGCAGGACCUGCAUGCUGAAGGACCACACUGAGUAGCAGUAAGGUCUGAGUAGGGCUGUGACACACAGAAUGGGGAAGCAGGAGCACUGAAGAUCAGGAGAAGCAGAAUGAAAGCACAGGAGUGACACUCACCAGCUCAGCAGAGUUGACAACUGGAGGCUGAAGAGCUCUGGGGAGGAAUGUGCAUCUCUUACUUAUGUCUUUACCUGGUCACAGUCAAAUGUACAGGGCUUAUUCAUGUCACUAACCCACUUCUUAGUCAUGAGCAGUGAGAAAUCAGUUAGCAUUUUUUUCAUCUCCUUUACAAAAAGAAAAAUCCAGCAGCCAAAGACAAUAGAGGAGAAACAGAUGUAAAUCAACAUGAAAUAUUUUAAGACUGCAGAGAGUACUACAGGUAAAUAUGGGCUAGAUGGUCAGCAGCAGUAGGUGUGAGGAAUGAAUGGGAUAGAAAUACAACGGUUCAGCAGGGACAGACAGGUUGUCACAAUAACUCUUCUGAAUUGUUUACUAAAUUUUGUUUACAGUAUAAACAUUUUGCUCAAGGGCUGCUAAAAAGAUUUAAGAGAACCGAGUAAAAAUGUUCUCUGCUCUAUAAACUGCUACUGCUUUGCCUUUCCUAUCUGGGUAGCAGAAUAAAUGAGAGCUACAAAAAUACCAUUGCAACUAACACUGCACAUCAUUUUUCAGUUGGUGAAGUGACCAAACAAUAUAUUCUCUGCUUUGCAGAGGAAAGAAAUUAAAGGGGAGACAAAACUCUUUGGAGGGUCCUUUAGGAGCAUUGUGUCAAAGGGUGGCACUUGGGGUCCCCUUGCAUAGCACUGUAGUUUAGUUGUUUGAAGAUGCUGAAGUGCAUAAUGUGGCUGCAAAGCUCAUUAGAAAAAUUAAUUCACUCUAUUCAUUUUUCAUUUUUCCACUCCUGACAUGCAGCCUUUUACAUCUGGAAUUACUUGAAGAUAAAGUCAUUUUCAAAAUAUUUUUUUCUGGUUGCUUUUAGUAGAUUAUAAACUGGAUGUUCAUGGAAACUGCAAAAGUUUUUUUCCACUUGGGGUCUCCAGCAUGACACUCUUCAUACUGAACAGACAGGUAGUGCUAUUCAAAAGAAUGAGGGCCACAGAGGAAGAGCAGAAGACUUUUUAAAUUCAAUUCACAGAUAUGAUAACCAGCAGGUGAUCCAACAUCUGUUAGUAGGUGGACACAAGUUUGGAGCCCUGGCUGCUCAUAUUUAAGGUUUUGGUACUCACCUGCAAGACAAAGUCAUUAAUGCUAUGCUGACAUGAAAGAUGUGGAAUCUAGCUGGAAGGAAGUUACCUGAAAGCCAUAGAUGGGUUUGGGGUCUCUUACCACCUGUGAGCUGGCUAAGCCAUAUGGUUGUUAUGCUUUGUGGGCCUUAAAAGGAUUCACCUGGUCAGCAUGUGCAACAAAUAACAAUUUCCCUUGUGAAGGGUUGGGGAUAACUACAAAGUUUGGUAAUUAGUGUGAAAGAUACAAGAAAGAAUGGAGGUUAAUAAAACGUUCCCUUCUAUGCUAAACAGAAACCAAAUUGCAGUUAUUCAGAAGGCUGCUUGCCUUAAAGUGUCUCUUCCUUUGUUUGCAAUCUAACAUUUGGGUCGAAUGUUUCACUGCUGGGAGUAACUUUGUCAAUUGGAAGCUCAAAUUCAUCCAAUCAAGCCUGCAAUAAAGGCAGGCACUGAGGGCUCCUGUGCAGUGCUACAAGGACAUGUUGCUUCAGGAUAGCGUCUUCAAAACUGCUAAUUGAUGGAGAUCUCACCCUGUGAAAUUCAGUAUAGCGUUUCCUCUGAAGUCAUUAAAGUGUUCUUAUGCAAGACACUCCUCCUGCAAUUAAUUAGCUGUUUGUGUGGGCAUUUAUUUAUCUGAAGACAUAAAAUUAGACCCUCAGUUGACAUAAAUGAUUCCAG